UCAUUAUAUUUUCUAUUUUCUCAUAUCCUUUGUAUAAUCAAUUAUAUUUUCUAUUUCAUGUAUACCACAAAGAAAAAAUAAAAAAUAAAAACAGUUAAUUUCCCCUUUUACUUCCCUUUGACCAGUUUCAACCUAUAGCAUUUAUAUAACCCUAAUUCACACUUUUUGAACAUAAUUAAUACCAGAUUUUCACCCAGGUCAUCAUAAUUUCUGUUUUCCUAAUAUCAUUUAAAUCGUCAUUAGCAUAUUUUAGAAUAUGUAUAUAUAUAUAGAUAGAAAGGAUUAAUAACAAUAGAACAAUCUUAAUAUCGCUCACUCCAUCUUCAUUUUUCUCAUCUAUAAUUAUCUAAUAAUUUUAAGGUAAUUCCCAGUAAGUUAUAAACUUCAAAUCUCCCCAAUCUACAUUUCUAAUAAAAAAUACAAAGAUACAUUCCCAUGUGGUGUCCCCCUUUUAUGCUAUAUCUAACCUUUAUCUCUAAAU